rnacentral:rRNA from 1 species
CAGCAGUGGGGAAUAUUGGACAAUGGGGGCAACCCUGAUCCAGCCAUGCCGCGUGUGUAAAUAAGGCCUUCUGGUUGGAAAGCUCUUUUUAUUGGGAAGAAGGCUUCAUUGAUAAUACCCUUGAGGAUUGACCUUACCAAUAAAAUAAGCACCGGCUAACUCCGUG